rnacentral:rRNA from 1 species
UGAACGCUGGCGGCAUGCUUUACACAUGCAAGUCGAACGGCACGCGCGGGGCAACCUGGCGGCGAGUGGCGAACGGGUGAGUAAUAUAUCGGAACGUACCCAAGAGUGGGGGAUAACGUAGCGAAAGUUACGCUAAUACCGCAUACGAUCUAAGGAUGAAAGCAGGGGAUCUUCGGACCUUGUGCUCCUGGAGCGGCCGAUAUCUGAUUAGCUAGUUGGUGAGGUAAAGGCUCACCAAGGCCACGAUCAGUAGCUGGUCUGAGAGGACGACCAGCCACACUGGAACUGAGACACGGUCCAGACUCCUACGGGAGGCAGCAGUGGGGAAUUUUGGACAAUGGGCGAAAGCCUGAUCCAGCAAUGCCGCGUGAGUGAAGAAGGCCUUCGGGUUGUAAAGCUCUUUUGUCAGGGAAGAAACGGUGAGGGCUAAUAUCCCUCGCUAAUGACGGUACCUGAAGAAUAAGCACCGGCUAACUACGUGCCAGCAGCCGCGGUAAUACGUAGGGUGCAAGCGUUAAUCGGAAUUACUGGGCGUAAAGCGUGCGCAGGCGGUUUUGUAAGUCUGACGUGAAAUCCCCGGGCUCAACCUGGGAAUUGCGUUGGAGACUGCAAGGCUAUAAUCUGCA